UGGGGAAUAUUGCGCAAUGGGCGGAAGCCUGACGCAGCGACGCCGCGUGGGGGAUGACGGCCUUCGGGUUGUAAACCUCUUUCAGCAGGGACGAAGCGAAAGUGACGGUACCUGCAGAAGAAGCUCCGGCUAACUACGUGCCAGCAGCCGCGGUAAGACGUAGGGGGCGAGCGUUGUCCGGAUUUAUUGGGCGUAAAGAGCUCGUAGGUGGCUGGUCACGUCGGUUGUGAAAACCUGCAGCUUAACUGUGGGCGUGCAGCCGAUACGGGCGAGCUAGAGGCAGGUAGGGGAGAGUGGAACUCCUGGUGUAGCGGUGAAAUGCGCAGAUAUCAGGAAGAACACCGGUGGCGAAGGCGGCUCUCUGGACCUGUUCUGACGCUGAGGAGCGAAAGCGUGGGGAGCGAAC
rnacentral:rRNA from 1 species